rnacentral:rRNA from 1 species
AGAGUUUGAUCAUGGCUCAGAACGAACGCUGGCGGCAUGCCUAACACAUGCAAGUCGAACGCUCACUUGGGUUUCGGCCCUUGUGGGAGUGGCGCACGGGUGAGUAGCGCGUGGGAACCUGCCUUUCAGUGGGGGAUAACCGAGGGAAACUUCGGCUAAUACCGCAUGCGCCGGCUGUCUUGAGAGAGAUGGCCGGGAAAGAUUUAUCGCUGAAAGAGGGGCCCGCGUCCGAUUAGCUGGUUGGUGGGGUAACGGCCUACCAAGGCUACGAUCGGUAGCUGGUCUGAGAGGAUGAUCAGCCACACUGGGACUGAGACACGGCCCAGACUCCUACGGGAGGCAGCAGUGGGGAAUAUUGGACAAUGGGCGCAAGCCUGAUCCAGCAAUGCCGCGUGAGUGAUGAAGGCCUUAGGGUUGUAAAGCUCUUUCGCCCGCGACGAUGAUGACGGUAGCGGGAGAAGAAGCCCCGGCUAACUUCGUGCCAGCAGCCGCGGUAAUACGAAGGGGGCGAGCGUUGUUCGGAAUCACUGGGCGUAAAGGGCGCGUAGGCGGCCCUUCUUGUCGCGUGUGAAAGCCCCGGGCUCAACCUGGGAACGGCGCGCGAGACGGGAGGGCUGGAGUUCGGGAGAGGAGCGUGGAAUUCCCAGUGUAGAGGUGAAAUUCGUAGAUAUUGGGAAGAACACCGGUGGCGAAGGCGGCGCUCUGGACCGAGACUGACGCUGAGGCGCGAAAGCGUGGGGAGCAAACAGGAUUAGAUACCCUAGUAGUCC